CCAAGUCAGGUGGCCAAGCACCCACGGGCUAUGCCGACGCUGCACAGCCUGUUCUGUUGGUGCCCAGGACAGGACGGUUGUGGGAGGCAGAGGUGGGUGAACCCUGUCCAGACCUGCUGUCCCUGGCAGUGUCCUGUGCACCUGGAGGUGCCUACCAGCCUGCCCUCACAGGGACCUGGAGAGGUGACCCACUCUUCGGGCAUCUUGAAAGGAGCAGGGAAUCCUCUCCCAUCCUGGAGAUUUAGCUGGAUGGAUGUGAAGCCUUAUCAGCCCAGAUCCAUGCAGGAGAUAGAGGGUGAUUUUCAGUCCCUUCAGUGGAUGG
rnacentral:lncRNA from 1 species